GUGGGGAAUUUUGGACAAUGGGCGAAAGCCUGAUCCAGCGACGCCGCGUGCGGGAGGAAGCCCUUCGGGGUGUAAACCGUUGUCAGAAGGGAAGAACGGGCUCGGGCGAAUAACCUGGGCCGCUGACGGUACCUUCAGAGGAAGCGCCGGCUAACUCCGUGCCAGCAGCCGCGGUAACACGGGGGGCGCAAGCGUUGUCCGGAAUUACUGGGCGUAAAGGGGGCGCAGGCGGCUUGGUAAGUCCUAUGUGAAAGCCUACGGCUCAACCGUGGAAAGCCAUAGGAUACUGCCGAGCUAGAGACGGGUAGAGGCGAGUGGAAUUCCCGGUGUAGCGGUGGAAUGCGUAGAUAUCGGGAAGAACACCAGUGGCGAAGGCGGCUCGCUGGGCCCGUUCUGACGCUCAGGCCCGAAAGCGUGGGGAGCAAACAGG
rnacentral:rRNA from 1 species